rnacentral:rRNA from 1 species
GACGAACGCUGGCGGCGUGCUUAACACAUGCAAGUCGAACGGAAAGGCCCUGCUUUUGUGGGGUGCUCGAGUGGCGAACGGGUGAGUAACACGUGAGUAACCUGCCCUUCACUUUGGGAUAACUUCAGGAAACUGGGGCUAAUACCGGAUAGGAGCUCCUGCUGCAUGGGGGGGGUUGGAAAGUUUCGGCGGUUGGGGAUGGACUCGCGGCUUAUCAGCUUGUUGGUGGGGUAGUGGCUUACCAAGGCUUUGACGGGUAGCCGGCCUGAGAGGGUGACCGGCCACAUUGGGACUGAGAUACGGCCCAGACUCCUACGGGAGGCAGCAGUGGGGAAUAUUGCACAAUGGGCGGAAGCCUGAUGCAGCAACGCCGCGUGCGGGAUGACGGCCUUCGGGUUGUAAACCGCUUUCGCCUGUGACGAAGCGUGAGUGACGGUAAUGGGUAAAGAAGCACCGGCUAACUACGUG